CAUAUGUAAUCCUGAAGUAAUCUAGAUUACUCAUAAGUACGAAGUUGAUGCUGCAGUUAUUUCGGUCUCUUUGUAAUAUUUGCAAAUUUUUUUCUAUGUGUUAUAAAGCCAUGAUUUUACUUAUGAUUUUAUUCUUGGAAAAAAAAGUUACGCAUAGAUCUAGACUGUCGAUUUUUGAGCUGUUAUAACUUUGUGAAAAAAGUCAAACAAUAAUCUUUGAGAUUAUUUUAAAGUAGAGGCUUUUUACUUUCAAUUGAUUCUAUAAAAAAUUGUAUAAUUUUUUUCAUGAAAUUAAAAUAAUUUACUUGCGCGCAAUUUUUUAUCAAAAAGUGUAUUUAGGAUAUUGAAUGCAAAUUAUAUAUGCCUAUUGCUUUAUUAUUAUAAUUUUUUUUUCUUCAGCAAAUAUUUUUCAUACGCAUUUCAAUGUGCAAUUUUUACAAAAUUUUUCAUAACUUUAUUGAAUACAUUUUAUUUUUUGUUCCAUACUAAUUGUUAUUUGAAUGAUUUUAAACGAUAUUAAAUGUAAUGCGCGCGCGCGCGUGUGUGUGUGUGUGUGCCCGCGCGCACGCGCGUGCGUGCGUGUGUGCAUGCAUGCAUGUACGUGUGUAUGUAAUAAUAAAAAUGUAAUAAGGAAGUUUGGUAAAAAGUACCAAUUUUUGCCCAUUAUUUCGGAUGUAAAAUACAUGUGGAUUAUUAUUGUUAGUACUUUACUGAAUAUGAAAACAUUUUUUAAGCUUGGAACCAAUGAGAACUUACGGAGAUUUGAUAAUAAAGAUGGGAUAUUACAUAUGAUAUCAGCGAUUUUUUCAAUAUUAUAUGUAGUACUUUGAUAUUUCGCGAAUGAUUUAUCAGACUUUUUUCAAAUUUGGUAAGGAAGUAUUUUGGGGACCAAAUAACAUCCUUGUUGAUUUUUAAAGAAAUCAAUUUGGGCUGACGUGGGAAAGUAGAAACGGUACAUGAAAAAAAGACAUUGUGAGACAAAUACACAAUUAUUUAAAUAUUAGCAUCUAAAUCUUUAUUAAAAUCAAGUGAAUAUGACAUCUCAAAUUCGAUUUAUUUAAUCUAUGUAAAUCGGGAUAGAGACAAAUAGGUAGGUAUCUAUUUGGAUGAUACAUGAUUUAUUUAAAAUUGUUAUCAAAUAAUUCUAAUUUAUUUGAAAUAAACAAUGUUUAUUUACCUCAAAUAAAUUAUUUUCGUAUAUAAUUAAACAGUAACAAAAAGAACAGAAUUAUUAUAACAUGAAUUAUAUAUAACAUUCUUAUGUAAAAACUGAUC